AGAGUUUGAUCAUGGCUCAGGAUGAACGCUGGCGGCGUGCCUAACACAUGCAAGUCGAACGAACCUAAUCUUCGGAAAGGGUUAGUGGCGCACGGGUGAGUAACACGUAGGUGACCUGCCCCGAAGUGGGGGAUAACUUCUCGAAAGAGAAGCUAAUACCGCAUAUGCUCAGCCAUUCAGUUGGUUGAGUAAAGCUCCGGCGCUUCGGGAGGAGCCUGCGUCCGAUUAGCUAGUUGGUGGGGUAAUGGCCUACCAAGGCGAUGAUCGGUAGCUGGUCUGAGAGGACGAUCAGCCACACUGGCACUGACACACGGGCCAGACUCCUACGGGAGGCAGCAGUGAGGAAUAUUGGUCAAUGGGCGAAAGCCUGAACCAACAACGCCGCGUGAGGGAUGAAGGCCUUCGGGUCGUAAACCUCUUUUCUGGGAGAAGAGACAAGGACGGUAUCCCAGGAAUAAGUCUCGGCUAACUACGUGCCAGCAGCCGCGGUAAAACGUAGGAGGCAAGCGUUAUCCGGAUUUACUGGGCGUAAAGCGCACGCAGGCGGCUGCGUAAGUCGGACGUGAAAGCUCCUGGCUCAACCGGGAGAGGUCGUUCGAAACUGCGCGGCUUGAGGUUGGAAGAGGAGAGCGGAAUUCCCGGUGUAGUGGUGGAAUGCGUAGAUAUCGGGAGGAACACCAGUGGCGAAAGCGGCUCUCUGGUCCACACCUGACGCUCAGGUGCGAAAGCGUGGGUAGCGAACGGGAUUAGAUACCCCGGUAGUCCACGCUG
rnacentral:rRNA from 1 species